rnacentral:rRNA from 1 species
GACGAACGCUGGCGGCGGGCUUAACACAUGCAAGUCGAACGGAAAGGCCUUCUUUCCCUUGUGGUUUGGGGGUACGCGAGUGGCGAACGGGGGAGUAACACGUGAUUGAUCUGCCCCCAACUUGUGUAUAAGCCUGGGAAACGGGGUCUAAUUCUCCAUAGGACUGCAGGGUGGUGCCUGUGGUGGAAAACGAUUUUCUAGUGGUAGGGGAUGAGCUCGCGGCCUAUCAGCUUGUUGGUGGGGUAAUGGCCUACCAAGGCGGCGACGGGUAGCCGGGCUGAGAGUGUGGCCCGCCACAUUGGGACUGAGAUACGGCCCCGACUCCGACGCAAGGCAGCAGAGGGGAAUAUUGCACGAUGGGCGGAAGCCUGAUGCAGCGACGCCGGGUGGGGGAUGACGCGCUUCGGGUUGUACACUCCUUUCGACCGAGAGGAAGCCACCUGGUUGGACGGGUGGUGACGGUAGUGGUAGAAGAAGCCCCGGCUAACUACGUG